GGGCCUAUAGCUCAGUUGGUAGAGCAGCUGCCUUACAAGCAGCGGGUCACUGGUUCGAGUCCGGUUGGGCCCA
rnacentral:tRNA from 1 species